CCGGGAUUCCCCUAGUACGGCGAGUGAAGCGGGAAGAGCUCAAAUUUGAAAUCUGGUGGCCUCAGGUCAUCCGAGUUGUAAUCUAUAGAAGUGUUUUCCGUGCUGGCUCAUGUACAAGUCCCUUGGAACAGGGCGUCAUAGAGGGUGAGAAUCCCGUCCUUGACAUGAACUACCAGUGCUCUGUGAUACAUUUUCAACGAGUCGAGUUGUUUGGGAAUGCAGCUCAAAAUGGGUGGUAAAUUCCAUCUAAAGCUAAAUAUUGGCGAGAGACCGAUAGCGAACAAGUACCGUGAGGGAAAGAUGAAAAGCACUUUGGAAAGAGAGUUAAACAGUAUGUGAAAUUGUUAAAAGGGAAACGAUUGAAGUCAGUCGUGCUCUUUGGAUUCAGCCGGUUCUGCCGGUGUACUUCCUUUGAGUGGGGUCAACAUCAGUUUUGAUCGCUGGAUAAAGGCUGGAGGAACGUAGCACCCUCGGGUGAACUUAUAGCCUCCUGUCACAUACAGUGGUUGGGACUGAGGAACGCAGCACGCCUUUAUGGCCGGGAUUCGUCCACGUACGUGCUUAGGAUGUUGACAUAAUGGCUUUAAACGACACGUCUUGACCCCGGGGACCA
rnacentral:rRNA from 1 species